rnacentral:rRNA from 1 species
UACGGAGGGAGCUAGCGUUGUUCGGAAUUACUGGGCGUAAAGCGCACUAGGCGGCUUUGUAAGUUAGAGGUGAAAGCCCGGGGCUCAACCCCGGAAUUGCCUUUAAGACUGCAUCGCUUUGAAUCCAGGAGAGGUGAGUGGAAUUCCGAGUGUAGAGGUGAAAUUCGUAGAUAUUCGGAAAGAACACCAGUGGCGAAGGCGGCUCACUGGACUGGUAUUGACGCUG